UCCUCCGUAGCUCAAUUGGCAGAGCGUCUGACUGUUAUUUCCAGUAGGAAUUCAGUCCAUCAGGAGGUUGACAGUUCAAACCUGUCCGGGGGAG